rnacentral:miRNA from 1 species
GCCGAUUUUGAAAACUGACACUUUUAAAAUCGGUCGCUGACCGAUUUUAAAAGUCUCACUUUUAAAAUCGGU